UCUUGACCAAUUUGGCGAGUUGGCAGAUAUUUUCAUGGAGAGAUCGUGUUGAUGGGCGGUUUUCAUUUGCUGCAUUAUCCGCCGCGUGCCUCCCAUUCUUCUCCUCAGCAACCGCAGGUGGUGCCGCAGCGGGGGGAUCUCGUGUUGCUCGUCGGCAUCACCAGAUCGAGGCAAAGAGAGGAGGUGCGGCAGAUCCCGGCCAAGAACCGGCGGCGUGAUAGAUUGAGCACGACCAAGCGAGGUGCAGGUCUGCACAGAUCAGUUCCGGCCCUCGAGGCUGGGAGCUGGCGUGCCUCCCCGGCAUGUGUGAUGCAGACGGCGGCGCGGCGCACGGCCUCCUGCCCGGAUUCCAAUCUAGACGCUGGGAAUCCACAACGGAGCCAUCUAGAGUCUCUGCACACAAGUCCCCUCCCUCCAAUUCAUUCUUUCCGGACAAUUUUUCGAUUUGGUGUUAGUGUCAGAUUUCAUGCCUGUUCCUCCUGCUGAGCUAGCCGCCGGUGGGUCUGCUGCUCAUCCUGAAAGGAAACGCAGUGCUGAUGCUUGAUGGAUUUAUGACUGGGCAAGUCGAAAAGGUACUAGUUUCACCAAAGGUGUACAUCCAGCCAGCACUACAGCUUCAAAUGUGCAUCAUGUGCAACCCGAGAAAAACUCGCUAGUCUAACCCAUAAAUUGGGGUAAAUGAAGUAAGUAAAAUGUUGUUACUCUACAAUGAAGAGUUGUGUGAUGAAGACAACUGGAAGCACAUGUUGAUUUUGACUAUAACUGUGUAUUUGAUCUAAAGCUGCAUUGGUGAGUUUUCUUGUUUUGUAUGUUACGGCAGGUCAGCUGAAGUUUUUCCUUAAAACUUUUCAUCUGCAGCGCUGCCGCUCUGACGAUCUGGCUGAGUUCGGUUGAAAGGAGGCAAAUACUGUCACUUUUAGUUAUCUCGGAUAGGUAGUGUAAUGGUAAUCCUAUGAUUGGAAUUUUUCUUUGCUCAUUCGUGUACGAUCUUCUGAUCCGUGUACAUA